rnacentral:rRNA from 1 species
CAACUAUUAUUUAUUUUUUAAGUAAUUUUUGUAAGCAUUGGGGGGUCGUGAAGAUUCUAUCAGUGAGUAUUUGUUCUCGAAAGGGCUAUGAUUAAUAUUGAAUAAUCAGACAUAGUACGCUAAGGUUGUAUGUCUAAAGGGAAACAGCCCAGAGCAAGUGUAAAUAAGGUUCCAAAAUUAUUAUUAAGUGAAAUAAAGGUAGUUUAUGUCUUAAACGGCCAGGAAAUGGGCUUAGAAGCGGCCAUUUUUUAAAGACCUCGUAACAGAGCACUGGCUUUGUCCUAUAAUUUAGGAUAAAUUAGAUUUAAAUUUCUUAGAUCUAAUUUACAUGGACAUGAGCACCGACGAUACAACGGAUCUAAAUAAUAUACCGAUACCUUGUCCAUAAAAAUAUAUACUUAUUAUCUGUAUAAGAUAAGUUAUUUGAAAAAGCAAACAGACAGGAGGUAAUAAUAGAUAAUUAAAGGAAAAAAAAUUUUUUUUUUUUAACAAAUUAAUAUAAUAACAUGUAUAUCGUUUUAUGGGGUAGCGGAACAUUGGGUAUGCCACAUACUUUUAUUAUAUAAAUAAAAUAAGGUAUCCCAAGAGAGAAUGCUGACAUGAGUAACGAUAAAGGGAAAAAUCCCUCGCCUAAAGCUUAUGGUAUUUAGUUAAAGUAACGGCCUCUAAAUUUAUGUUUUAGUAAAACCUAAGGGAUUAAACGAUGAGCAAAUCUAUUAAGGCACAAUAACAUUUA